GCUAGGAUAGCAAAGAGGUUACUGCAGUAGAUUUAGGAUUUAUGAUUAUGGGUUCGAUUCCCUUUCUUAGUU
rnacentral:tRNA from 1 species